CACGCUUGAUAACACGUCAAGACCGCAAGCAUGAAACGCCCUAGGAUAUAGCCUGAGCGUGACGUAGAGAUACAAUGACUCUCUCACCUAAAACUUAGGGAAAUUUCGGUUUUUACCUUCCACUAAGAGCUGACAGUAACCAAGUAAUGGGCUCCUUGAGUAGAAGACUGUCUUUGUUAGAGGAACAAACAGAUUUUGUGAUAUGCCCUUAACCAGGAGUCGAAGGAGAAAUUAGUCUCCAUGCAAGUCAAUAAAAUGUUUUACUUAA